rnacentral:rRNA from 1 species
CUACGGGUCGCUGCAGUGAGGAAUUUUGCGCAAUGGGGGGAACCCUGACGCAGCAACGCCGCGUGAGUGAUGAAGGCUUUCGGGUCGUAAAGCUCUGUCAAGUGGGAAGAACCUAUGCAGUGUUAAUAUCACUGUAUACUGACGGUACCACUGAAGGAAGCACCGGCUAACUCCGUGCCAGCAGCCGCGGUAAUACGGGCGGUCAAGCGUUAUUCGGAAUCAUUGGGCGUAAAGGGCACGUAGGCGGCUUGGUAAGUCAGAUGUGAAAGCCCGGGGCUUAACCCCGGAAGUGCAUUUGAUACUGUCAGGCUUGAGUAUGGGAGAGGGAAGUGGAAUUCCUGGUGUAGAGGUGAAAUUCGUAGAUAUCAGGAGGAACACCGGUGGCGAAGGCGACUUCCUGGACCAAUACUGACGCUGAGGUGCGAAGGCGUGGGUAGCAAACAGGAUUAGAUACCCCAGUAGUC